GUCCCAAUUAGUCUACUACUAGUGUCAUCACUCUGCUCCUUAGCCUGCAGGUGAAAAGGAAGCGACCUAAGUUACACCCUCCAGCAUUUGUGAAAUGCCACAUCCUGCCAAAAAGCAGAAUGGCUUCAGCUUGAGUGACUUGGAGUAUGGGCAUCGCUGUUCCUUGAGUUGGGUUUGUGUGCUCAAAAUUCUGCUCUUUGAAGAGAUUCAUUGAAGAAACGCUCUUCCUCUGCAGUGGGGGGGAGGACCGUGGAGGAGAGCAUCUCUACACGUAUUCAGAUCUGUGGGAUUCAGCUCACCAAACUGGAGGUCUGCAGUGUGGGAGCCUAUUCCUGAUAGUGGCACUGCACAUCAGUGGCGAGAAAAGGGUACUUCAAGGCAUUGAGUCUUCUUUGCUUAGGUAUCUGUUUUAAGAUGAGAUAAUAGAAUCCUCUGCAAAAAGUUUUUCCAGACACAUGAUUUUAUUUUGUUGUUGAUCUCUGAGGCAUCAGAAAGUGGUUUAUAAAAUAUAUACGAUAUUAGUAAGAAUUAUAUUCCUUUUAGACAUUCACAAGCACAUUCCUAUGUGCACUGUAACAUACUGCAAUGAGAAGGUGGGAAUAGUGAAUAAAGAUUGCAUAGCUUUUUUUCCUGAUUUUCAGUAACUGAAAAACUUUGCAUGACAAAGUGCCAGGGGACAGAGAUUUUUGUAAAAGUAUUGUGUGAUCUUUGGAUUCAACAACGUUGAUCAAUGUGACACUAGGUGGCAUUGUAUAAAUACGUAUAAAGCUUUGUGUUUUAUCUUUCUGUUUCAAAGGUAUGAUCAAGUAUGAAAAUCUCACUGAAACGAGUGGGUUUUGUUCACUGGUUUCUGUUUUCUGUUGAUUGUAGUUUGUGAUUUAGCAUCACUGAAAUGUGUGGAGUAGUCCAGAAAUAAAGUACAUUUCAUUGCUUCAUCUGCUGGUGGGAAUCUACAGCUCACAGUCCUUUUGUUUAUACAAUACCUACUACCAGUAUCUUCUAGAAUAUAACAGAGAAUAUAUUCAGUUGUCAUGACUUCUUAUCUUUUGU
rnacentral:lncRNA from 1 species